rnacentral:rRNA from 1 species
UGCCAGCAGCCGCGGUAAUACGGGGGGUGCAAGCGUUAAUCGGAAUUACUGGCGUAAAGCGCGUGUAGGCGGCCUGUCGAGUCGGGCGUGAAAGCCCGGGGCUCGACCCCGGAGGUGCGUUCGAGACUGGCGGGCUGGAGUCCGGGAGAGGGGAGUGGAAUUCCCAGUGUAGAGGUGAAAUUCGUAGAUAUUGGGAAGAACACCAGUGGCGAAGGCGGCUCCCUGGCCCGGGACUGACGCUGAGGCGCGAAAGCGUGGGGAGCAAACAGGAUUAGAUA